UCCCUGGUGGCUCAGAGGUUAAAGCGUCUACCUCCAAUGCAAAUAGACCCGGGUUCGAUUCCUGGGUUGGGAA
rnacentral:tRNA from 1 species